rnacentral:misc_RNA from 1 species
AUUUUCUCUAUAAAUAAGAGGCAAGAAUAGCAACUUUGAUCUCCAUAGCAUCGGUAUCUGUGUCUGUACUGUAUUGUAUCCGUUGGGCCUCUGUUUCAUUCCUUUUUGAGAUCUUAUUUCAAUUUUGAUUGAAGAAAUAUGUUGGCUAUAUUCAAGAAAGGGUUGGUGAAACCACCUCAGGAGCUGAAUAGCCCAGCUUCAUUGGCAUCAUCGAGAAAGCCAAAGCAUCCUCAGGAGAUUCUUAAGGAUUUUGAAUCUUCUAAUCCCUCUAAUACUUUCUCAAUUAGCUUUGGAGAUGUUGCUUCUCUUGCUUAUAUUCCUCCACAAAAUCCUUACUCUAUCCACCAGAGGUUGUUCUGUGGAUUGAAUGACAUAUACUGCAUUUUCUUGGGAAGCUUGAACAACUUAUGUAGCCUCAAUAGACAGUAUGGGCUGUCGAAGGGCACCAACGAGGCCAUGUUUGUAAUUGAAGCUUACAGAACCCUACGUGAUCGUGGCCCAUACCCAGCCCAUCAGGUCCUAAAGGAUCUUGAGGGCACAUUCGGAUUCGUGGUCUAUGACACCAAAGCUGGACAUGUCUUUGC